rnacentral:rRNA from 1 species
CACCGCGGUUAUACGAGAGGCCCAAGUUGAUAAGCAUCGGCGUAAAGGGUGGUUAGGGAAAACUAUACAAUAAAGCCGAACAUCUUCAAAACUGUUAUACGCCCUCGAAGAUUUGAAGCCCCACCACGAAAGUGGCUUUAUAUAACCCCGAACCCACGAGAGCCAGGAAA